rnacentral:rRNA from 1 species
GACGAACGCUGGCGGCGUGCCUAAUACAUGCAAGUUGAGCGCUGAAGGUUUGUACUUGUACCAACUGGAUGAGCAGCGAACGGGUGAGUAACGCGUGGGGAAUCUCCCUUUUUUCGGGGGACAAUAUUUGGACACGAAUUCUAAUACCGCAUAAAAACUUUAUACAUAAGUUUUAUGGUUGAAAUAUGCAAUUGCAUCACUCACAGACGACCUCGCGUUGUAUUAGCUAGGUGGUGAGGUAAAGGCGCACCAAGGGGAUGAUACAUAGCCGAACUGAGAGGGUGGUCGGCCAGCUUGGGACUGAGACAGGGCCCAAACUCCUUGGGGAGCAAGCAGUAGGGAAUCGUCGGCCAGGGACGAAAGUCAGACCGAGCAACGCCGAGUGCGUGAAGAAGGUUGUCGGAUCGUAAAACUCUGUUGGUAGGGAAGAACGCUGGUGAGAGUGGAACGCUCAUCAAGUGACGGUAACUAGCCAGAAAGCAACGGCUAACUACGUG